rnacentral:tRNA from 1 species
GCGCUGUUAGCUCAAUCGGUAGAGCAGAUCCCUCUUAAGGAUAAGGUUACAGGUUCGAUUCCUGUACAGCGCA